UACGUAGGUGGCAAGCGUUGUCCGGAUUUACUGGGCGUAAAGAGCGCGCAGGCGGUCGUUCAAGUCGCGUGUGAAAUCCCUCGGCUCAACCGGGGAACUGCGUCCGAUACUGGUGGGCUCGAAUCCGGGAGAGGGAUGUGGAAUUCCAGGUGUAGCGGUGAAAUGCGUAGAUAUCUGGAGGAACACCGGUGGCGAAGGCGGCAUCCUGGACCGGUAUUGACGCUGAUGCGCGAAAGCCAGGGGAGCAAACGGG
rnacentral:rRNA from 1 species